GCAGACAGAUGGUGCUCAUAAAUUAUUAAAUCAGAGCCAGGAGGAAUAUAAGAGCAGGUUACAAAAAUAGAUAAGGAUUGAAUGGAAACUUUGACACUAACAAAUUCAAUAUCGUUAGGGAUAUGAAUGUUAAGCCUCUCCGAUGUUAAACUAGAGGUAACGGCAAUCAG